AGCAUCAUUUUGAUCGGUAUCAAAGUCGGGAAACAGGAAGCUAGGCUUGGAGAUGAGGAGGACUCCGAUCAUGGCAAAUAUGAUGGAAACGUACUGGACCAAGCCACAUGGUUCACCGAGAAACAGGUUAGUAUUAGACCAAUACAACCGGUGAGACAUCGUAAGGCCAGAGGAACUCUUUCGGAUGGGAUCGAUUUCAGAUCAUGUUUGCAUAAGAUUACCACAAUGGAAAAGGCUAUCAAUGUGAUGAGUGAUCUUUAACGAAAUUGAAAAGGUAAAAAAGGUCUGGAGCAAUGCCGAGUUCAAAGAAAAUACAUUCUCACACUGAUUCAUGUUCAGUUGAAACUAGCGAAGGUCAAAAAAGUUCAAUCAUCAUUCAUAUUUCAAUGAAAUUAUUAAUGUCAAUAAUUUGAUAUAGCAAUGCUGUAUAUGAAAAGCUUACACAAAAAUCGUCACUGUUUGUACAACAAAAACUAAAGAAAUUAUGGAAAUCAAUAUCAAUUAGUCAGUUGAUACAAUAUGUAUGACAAUUUGAUCAAAAGCUAUGGCUAUAACUAAGAUUCUUCAUAAGUUAAUUUAUUCAAAGAUUUUUGGCUAAAUUCAAUCAAUAUCUGGUAAAGAUGAAUCUGGACAAUGUUCAAUUAAACUUACAUUGAUUGUUGGCAUUUGAAGUAAUGGCAACCUUCGACGUAUUUCACUCACCUGAUAACAGCAAUUUCAAUACCAGAAACUGAUUGGAUAAGCUUGACUGUUAAGGAUCCAGUGGCAAAGAAAACACCUGAUAA